rnacentral:rRNA from 1 species
AGUGAACGCUGGCGGUAGGCCUAACACAUGCAAGUCGAACGGCAGCACAGUAAGAGCUUGCUCUUACGGGUGGCGAGUGGCGGACGGGUGAGGAAUACAUCGGAAUCUACUUUUUCGUGAGGGAUAACGUAGGGAAACUUACGCUAAUACCGCAUACGACCUACGGGUGAAAGCAGGGGAUCUUCGGACCUUGCGCGAUUGAAUGAGCCGAUGUCGGAUUAGCUAGUUGACGGGGUAAAGGCCCACCAAGGCGACGAUCCGUAGCUGGUCUGAGAGGAUGAUCAGCCACACUGGAACUGAGACACGGUCCAGACUCCUACGGGAGGCAGCAGUGGGGAAUAUUGGACAAUGGGCGCAAGCCUGAUCCAGCCAUACCGCGUGGGUGAAGAAGGCCUUCGGGUUGUAAAGCCCUUUUGUUGGGAAAGAAAAGCAGCAGGUUAAUACCCCGCUGUUCUGACGGUACCCAAAGAAUAAGCACCGGCUAACUUCGUG